rnacentral:rRNA from 1 species
GACGAACCGUGCGAACGUUAUUCGGAUUCACUGGGCUUAAAGGGCGCGUAGGCGGACGACCAAGUCCGGGGUGAAAUCUUUCGGCUCAACCGGAAAAGUGCCUCGGAUACUGGUCGCCUUGAGGGAGGUAGGGGCAUGUGGAACUUCCGGUGGAGCGGUGAAAUGCGUUGAUAUCGGAAGGAACGCCGGUGGCGAAAGCGACGUGCUGGCCCUCUGCUGACGCUGAGGCGCGAAAGCCAGGGGAGCAAACGGG